GAUGAACGCUGGCGGCGUGCUUAACACAUGCAAGUCGAACGAAGCAUUUGCGACAGAUUUUUUCGGAAUGAAGUUGCUUAUGACUGAGUGGCGGACGGGUGAGUAACGCGUGGGUAACCUGCCUUGUACUGGGGGAUAGCAGCUGGAAACGGCUGGUAAUACCGCAUAAGCGCACAAUGUUGCAUGACAUGGUGUGAAAAACUCCGGUGGUAUAAGAUGGACCCGCGUCUGAUUAGCUAGUUGGUGUGAUAACAGCCCACCAAGGCGACGAUCAGUAGCCGACCUGAGAGGGUGACCGGCCACAUUGGGACUGAGACACGGCCCAGACUCCUACGGGAGGCAGCAGUGGGGAAUAUUGCACAAUGGAGGAAACUCUGAUGCAGCGACGCCGCGUGAGUGAAGAAGUAAUUCGUUAUGUAAAGCUCUAUCAGCAGGGAAGAUAGUGACGGUACCUGACUAAGAAGCUCCGGCUAAAUACGUG
rnacentral:rRNA from 1 species